AGUGAAAUGCUGGGUCAUAUGGUAAUUCUGUUUUGCUUUUUAAGCAACUGCCAAACUGCUUUUCACAGCUGCUAUACCAUUCUGCAUUCCCACCAGCAAU
rnacentral:pre_miRNA from 2 species